rnacentral:rRNA from 1 species
UUAAGAAUCUUGCGCAAUGGGCGCAAGCCUGACGCAGCGACGCCGCGUGAAGGAUGAAGGCCUUCGGGUCGUAAACUUCGAUAAGCAGGGAAGAAUAAGUUAUGGCUAAUAUCCAUAACGAUGACGGUACCUGCCUAAAGCCCCGGCUAACUACGUGCCAGCAGCCGCGGUAAUACGUAUGGGGCGAGCGUUGUUCGGAUUUAUUGGGCGUAAAGGGCGUGUAGGCGGGGGACUAAGUCAGGUGUGAAAUCCAUGAGCUUAACUCAUGAACUGCACUUGAUACUGGUUCUCUUGAGUUUUGGAAGAGGAGAGCGGAAUUCCCGGGUGUAGCGGUGAAAUGCGUAGAUAUCGGGAGGAACACCAGUGGCGCAGGCGGCUCGUCUGGUCCAAAACGUGACG